AUAACAGCGAGUUUGAUGGUGGCUCUGAUUGAAUGCUAUUCAAAUGCUUGACACAUGCUAAUCGAACGCCUAGUUUAUUUAUAAUAAAAAACUAGAAAGUGGUGUACAGGUGAGGAAAGGGUAUGUUUACUGCCUUAGAGCAAGGAGAAAUACCUUAUAAAAACAAAGAAAUUAUUAAAUAAAUAAUUUUGCUUUAAGAUGUUAUCUUAAUACCUCGGGUAAGUAGAGUAGUAGUUAAAGUAAUGGUUUAACUAGCUUUAUCUCGUAGUCGAGUCUGAAAGGUCCUUCGACCACAUUGGAACUGAGACAAGUUCAAUGCGAUUUUUUUUUGCACUGCAGUGGGGAAUAUUGGUCAAUAGCCUAACGGCUGAACCAGCGAUUUGAAGGAAUGAAGAUCUACUUUGAAAUAUAAGAAGACUAAAAUUCUGGUUAGUAAAAUGAUAAUGACAAUUUUCUAUCUAAAUGUCUUGACUAAUUCACGUGCCAGCAGUCGCGGUAAUACGUGAGAGACCAGCGUUAUUCAUAUUUAAUUGGUUUAAAGGGUUACUAGACGGUAAUUUUUGCCUUUGAAUGGGGACAGAGUUACUAGAGUUUUAUGUGAAAAGUAUAUUUAGAACUCAUGGUGUAGAACUGAUAAUUUAAAAUACUAUGGGGAAUGAUAAAGGCGAAGGCAAACUUUUAUGUAAAAACUGACGUUGAGGAACGAAGGCAAGGACAGUGAAUAGGAUUAGAACCCUAGUAAUCCUAGCAGAAAAUGAUGAGUGCCAUAGGUUGUAUUAAAUUUAAAUCGCCUAUAAAUGAAAAUGUAAGCAUUCCACCUCAAGAGUAAUGUGGCAACACAGAAACUGUAACCAUUAGACCAACUCCGAAACUAGUAGUGAAGUGUGUUAUUUAAUUCGAUGAUCCACGAAAAAUCUUACCACAAUUUGAAUAUUUAGUGACAAGAAAUUAAUUUAAUUUUUGUAAAAAAAAAUAAUGUUUUUUUACUUCUUUUUACAAGUGUUGCACGGCUGUCUACAGUUGUUGCCGCGAGGCUUUGGUUGGCUCCAACAAGUGACGUACACCCUAAUUUUAUUUAAAACUAAUUUCAUUUUAUGAAAUAAAUUAUAAAGUUAUUCAUCUUGACAUGAGAUGUAUUUAUGGGAUAAAGACAAGUCCUCAUGACCUUAAUAUUGUGGGCUAUAGACUUGCCACAUUAGCUAAAACAAAGGGAUGCUAAAAUGUGAAUAUUCGCUAAUCCCUAAACAGGAUAUAAUAUGGAUUGUAUGUCUGAAACUCGACUACAUGAAUAAGGAAUUACUAGUAAUCGUGCAUCACCAUGGCACGGUGAAACUUAUCUCGGAUAGGUACUAACUACUCGUCAAGCACUGAAAGGAGCACACGCAAUAAGUUGAGUUUAGUUUAAAUCAUAAUAUAGUAAUUAGACUAUUAAGAUGGUUUAGGAUAGAUUUUCGAAUGUAUGGCUGCAAUUGGUGUUAAGUCGAAAUACGGUUGUUGUAGAGGAAUCUGCAGCGGACUUAUAAAAAAAUUAACAAUACCCCCUAUAAUUUAAUACCCCCUAUAGUUCAAAACUUCAACUUUAUAUAGGUAAAAAGUUCUGGUUCAAAUCCGGAAUAAAGUAAUGUUUUUUACUAGUAACAUAUUUUUAUUGAAUAUCAAUGCGGGCACUUUGAGCCCAGAAAGAAAAUAAUUAAGGGUAGUCACUCUUAUACUGCUAUAUUAUGUGGUUCUAUGUUAUGACAGCUUCUAUAUUAGAAUAUUCGACACAGUAAUAGGCAUAAAUGAUGAUUUAUUCCAUUCAGCGUCCAUAACGUAUAGUUUUGCCCUUUUAGUAGGAGCUAUUAUGUUACAAUUAGUUGUAUAUUACCCCAGACGUUUACAAGAACCAAUGGGACUGACAUUAAAUAAAAUAUCUUAUUUAGUUUUAAUCAAUAUAUUAAUUGUUCUUAUUUUACUUGUUUUACUUUUACUUGUGGCUUUAUUCUUAUUCUUUUUCUUUUUCUUCUAUACUUGCUACGAUGAUUGCUUACUUUAUUGCCUUUCGUUUGUCCCUCUAAAAAUAUAUAAUAAUGCAGAUCUUGAUAAAAUUAAGAUUCUUCAAGAAAAUAGGGAUAAGGCCGGCGUAUAUCUUUGACAAAAUUUAAUAAAUGAAAAAAAAUAUAUAGGCUCUUCUGUGAAUCUCUAUAAUAGAAUUUUAGUAUACUAUGCACCAACAUUAAUGAAAUCUGAAUUAAAGAGAGGUAGAAGUCUUAUUUAUAACUCCAUCUUAAAGUAUGGUCACGAAAACUUUGCUUUUUCAAUUCUUGAGUAUUGUGAGCCGGGAUUAUGUCUUGAGAGGGAAGAUUAUUUCCUACAACUUCUUAAGCCAGAAUACAAUAUCAGUAAGAAAGCUGCAGCCCCUUUUUUAGGUCGUCAACACUCAGAGGAAACUCGAAAACAAAUAUCUGAUAAUAAUAAGGGAGUAAACAAUUUCAUGUUUGGAAAAACUCAUAGCGAGGAAGUGAGGAAUAAGAUCUCAGCUUCUCAACCCAAUCGUCAAAUAAUAAAAGUUACAGAUAUUGAAACUGGUCUUAUAAAUACUUAUUUUUCUAUUAGUGCAGCAGCAAGAGCCUUAAAUAUUUCACAGCAGGCAAUUUCUUACUAUUUAAAAAAUAAUCAACAAAAACCUUAUAAAAAAAGGUAUAUUUUCAGCCAGAUAUAUUAGUAAUUUUCAAAGCUCCUAUUCUUCCAUUCCCCAUUUUCCAAAAGCAAGGUUCUCCUCUAUAGCUCAUUCUACUCUUUACUUUGGUUUCUUUGGUUUCCCUUUUUUGGUAAAAAAGGGGGGUUUAAUAAAAAGGUUAAACCUAAACCAUUCAAUUUUUAGUAUACAAUAUAAAUGAAUGCCCCAAGUUGUAAAUUUAAACAUGACAAAGUAUAAAUUGAAGCGAAUCCAUUUUUAAUGUAAUGGAAUACGAAGAUAUAGUCGGACCUGGUUUGAAAGAAUCAAUCCUUGCAAGAGGAGGAGAAUCAAUUAUAAUAAUAAAUGAUUUAUGGAAAAGGGCGCCUCAAUUAAUACGAUAACCGUAUGAAAAGACUUGACUUAUGAUUUUUAUAAGAGAAGUAAGCCCCUAAUUCGACGGUUGUUGUAGAGGAAUCUGCAGCGGACUUAUAAUAAAA
rnacentral:rRNA from 1 species